CUACCAAGGAUUCCCCUAGUAACUGCGAGUGAAGCGGGAAAAGCUCAAAUUUGAAAUCUGGCAGUCUUUUUUUUCUUCUUUGGCUGUCCGAGUUGUAAUCUAGAGAAGUGCUUACCUGCACUGGACCAUGUAUAAGUCUCCUGGAAUGGAGCGUCACAGAGGGUGAGAAUCCCGUCUUUGACAUGGACCGCCAGUGUGUUGUGGUGUGCUCUCAAAGAGUCGAGUUGUUUGGGAAUGCAGCUCUAAAUGGGUGGUAAACUCCAUCUAAAGCUAAAUAUUGGCGAGAGACCGAUAGUGAACAAGUACCGUGAGGGAAAGAUGAAAAGGACUUUGGAAAGAGAGUUAAACAGUAUGUGAAAUUGUUGAAAGGGAAACGCUUGAAGUCAGUUAUGUUGGCUAGGGAUCAACCUAGCUGUUUUUUGCUGGGUGAAUUUCCUAGUCUGACAGGCCAACAUCAGUCUUGACUGCUGGAAAAGAGCAGAGGGAAUGUGGCACCUUUGGGUGUGUUAUAGCCUUUUGUCAUAUGUGGCAGUUGGGACUGAGGGAUGCAGCAUGCCGCGAGGCUGGGUUUCUGACCACGUUCAUGCUCAGGAUGUUGGCUUUUAAUGGCUUCAAUCGACCCGUCUUGAAACACGGACCAAGGAGUCUAACAUGCCUGCGAGUGUUUGGGUGGGGAAAACCCUUGUGCACAAUGAAAGUGAAAGUUGAGAUCCCUGUCAUGGGGAGCAUCGACGCCCGGACCUGAGCUUUUAGCGACGGAUCUGCGGUAGAGCAUGCAUGUUGGGACCCGAAAGAUGGUGAACUAUGCCUGAAUAGGGCAAAGCCAGAGGAAACUCUGGUGGAGGCUCGUAGCGAUUCUGACGUGCAAAUCGAUCGUCAAAUUUGGGUAUAGGGGCGAAAG
rnacentral:rRNA from 1 species